GACGAACGCUGGCGGCGUGCCUAAUACAUGCAAGUCGAGCGAAGUUUUUCUGGUGCUUGCCCUAGAAAAACUUAGCGGCGAACGGGUGAGUAACACGUAAAGAACCUCCCUCAUAGACUGGGACAACUAUUGGAAACGAUAUCUAAUACCGGAUAACAGCAUUUCUCGCAUGACAGAUGUUUAAAAGUUUGUUAUGCUAACACUAUGAGAUGCCUUUGCGGUGCAUUAGCUAGUUGGUGGGGUAAAGGUCCACCAAGGCGACGAUGCAUAGCCGACCUGAGAGGGUGAUCGGCCACACUGGGACUGAGACACGGCCCAGACUCCUACGGGAGGCAGCAGUAGGGAAUCUUCCGCAAUGGGCGAAAGCCUGACGGAGCAACGCCGCGUGAGUGAUGAAGGAUUUCGGUUCGUAAAGCUCUGUUGUUAGGGAAGAAGGAAUAUGUAGUAACCAGAGAUGUAAGUGACGGUACCUAACCAGAAAGCCACGGCUAACUACGUG
rnacentral:rRNA from 1 species